GCCGGGUUCGGUGGCGUGCACCUGCAGUCCCAGCUGAGGCAGGAGGAUAGCUUGAGCCCAGGAGUGCUGGGCUGUCGCACACUCUGCUGAUUAGCUGUCUGCCCUGAGUUCGGCAUCAAUGUGGUGACCUCCUGGGAGUGGAGGACCACCAGGUUGCCUAAGGAGGAGUGACGUGACCCAGGUCAGGAACGGAGCAGGCCGAAACUCCCAUGUUGAUCAGUAGUGGGAUCAUGCACCCUGGGCGACACAGCAAGACCCUGUCCCU
ensembl:misc_RNA Metazoa_SRP Metazoan signal recognition particle RNA